rnacentral:rRNA from 1 species
GAUGAACGCUGGCGGCGUGCCUAAUACAUGCAAGUCGAGCGAACAGACGAGGAGCUUACUCCUCUGACGUUAGCGGCGGACGGGUGAGUAACACGUGGAUAACCUACCUAUAAGACUGGGAUAACUUCGGGAAACCGGAGCUAAUACCGGAUAACAUGUUGAACCGCAUGGUUCAACAGUGAAAGACGGUCUUGCUGUCACUUAUAGAUGGAUCCGCGUCGCAUUAGCUAGUUGGUAAGGUAACGGCUUACCAAGGCAACGAUGCGUAGCCGACCUGAGGGGGGGAUCGGCCACACGGGAACUGAGACACGGACCAGACUCCUACGGGAGGCAGCAGUAGGGAACCUGCCGCAAUGGGCGAAAGCCUGACGGAGCAACGCCGCGUGAGUGAAGAAGGUCUUCGGAUCGUAAAACUCUGUUAUUAGGGAAGAACAAAUGUGUAAGUAACUAUGCACGUCUUGACGGUACCUAAUCAGAAAGCCACGGCUAACUACGUG